ensembl:lncRNA
GGGCCAUACCCACGGCAUAUGGAAGUUCCCAGGUUAGGGGUUGAAUUGGAGCUACAGCUGCCAGCCUACAUCGUAGCCACAGCAACGGUGAAUCCGAGCUGACUGACCUACACCACAGCUCAUAGCAACCCUGGAUCCUUAACCCGCUGAGCAAAGCCAGGGAUCAAAUCCACCUCCUCAUGGAACCUAGUUGAGUUCGUUAAGCGUUGAGCCACGAUGGGAACUCUGUGAGAAUAUUUUUGAGAGUCGGUUGCUGAUCGGAGGCCCCAUCACCCCUGAGUCCUUUCUCUGCAUUUCCCACAAACAAGGACAUUGUCCUACUCGGCCAUGCGACACCUUCAAAGGCAGAACAUUGACAGCUACACGUUGCUAUCCUGUAGUCCUCAGAUGCCAUUCUAGUUUCUCCCCUUGUCCCAGUCAUGUCCUCUAGAGCACAAGGAUCCGGUCCAGAAUCACAGCUGUAUUUAGAGAUCCUGUUUCCUGCCUUAGAUGCUGCCACGGCGUCGUUAGCAGGUCCCCACAUCACAGACCCCAUAUCAGAGACCCCCUGCAAACGCAGAGGCAGGGAAGACCGCUGUUUGCUUUGAUUUGACCUCAGACCCACUUGGCAGGGUGUUUAGCCUACCUGCAGGGUCUUGCAAAGGCUCCGACUGGAAGCCUUGAAAUUCGCCAGAGGUCAGUUUCUAGGGAGCACAGGUUUCAAGCAGGGUGAUCCGUUCACUUUCUCACACACCUAAGCAAUACUUCCCUUUAGGCAAGAGCUCCUGUUUCAUGUUCUUUUUAUUUUAGCUCCUUUGUUCUGAUUUACUUGGGUUACCAGGGUGCCCCGCUCGGUUUUCAGAUGUUUUUCCCAACCAGAGACGAGGAAAAUGGUGUGUGGGGGUCAAGCGCGAUGCUGCUUCUCCGUCCCAUUCCCUCCACUUCCUGCCGAGGCGUUUCUUCCCAGGAGGAGGGAAUCAGAUUUUGUGCAGCUUCUAUGUCUCAGCUCUUUUUUUAAAUUGGUUUUUUUAGGGCCUCACCUGUGGCAUACAUAAGCUCCCAGGCUACAGAUUGAAUUGGAGCUGCAGCUGCCGGCCUACACCACAGUCCCAUCAAUGCCAGAUCUGAGCCUCGUCUGUGACCAACACCACAGCCUCUGGCCAUGCCAGAUCCUUAACCCGCUGAGCGAGGCCAGGGAUUGAACCUGCAUCCUCAUGGAUACUAGUUGGAUUCGUUUCCGCUGCAUCACGAUGGGAACACCUAUCUCUUACUUCUUUCUCUUUUUCUUUUUUUUUUGGCUGUGCCCAUGACAUGGGGAAAUUCCCUGGCAAGGGAUCAAACCCGUGCCACGGCAGUGACCUGAGCCACAGCAGUGACAACGGCAGAUCCGUAACUGCUAGGCCACCAGGGAAUUCCGUCGGCUCUUAUUUCUUUAAAUAAUCCGCUCGUUCCCUCCUUCUAUUUCUCUUCUUUGGAAAAAUCCCCUUGUUUAAGAUGCAGGGAAGGGUGCCAUUUUUGACACACUAGGCCAAACCGGUCAUUCCCCAGGGCGCUGUCUAUCCCUCUCUCUGUCCUGAUACUCCCUGGUCUGAGCAAUUUGCUGCUAGAUCAGUUCUCCCCACAAGGCUUGGGGUUUCUCCAGCACGGAAAUCUGCUUUUGUUCAUUUCGUGUCCCUAACACUCUCCACGGGCCUUGACACGGAGCACAUGGUCAGCUCAAACCGCUCUUUCCUUUAGAUAGUUCGUCUCACGUGCUAGUCCAACAUUUUUCUCAACUUAGAUGGCGUAUGUUUUUAGUCAUGAAAAGUAGAAUAGAAAGCAUUUUCCUAUAGGCGGAUGGCAUGGUUUUAUUAUCAAUAACUAGGAGCUCUUUUAAGAGACAUCUCAUUAUCGUCGGAGAGCAUAAAACAGUCUCUUUGAAAACUCAAACUAUUGUUUUAUUUAUUUAUUUAUUUAUUUAUUUUUUACCAAAUCAUCACAAUGUACUCUUUAUUUUAUUUUUUUUAGUUUUCGCUAUUUUUUCAGUUUUUUUAUUACUCAAAUGAAUUUAUCACAUCUGUAGUUGUAUAAUGAUCAUAACAAUCCAAUUUCACAGGAUUUCCAUCCCACAGCCCAAGCACAUCCUCCCCCAAACUAUCAUUUUAUAGGCUUGUCACUAACCACUCUUUGUAGCUCAAUCUAUUUAAAUUUUAAAAUGUUUCAAGACCCUUCUGGCUCUAUACUAAGAUUUUAAGAUUAUUUUUUUUGGCCACACUCGAGGCAUGUAGAAGCUCCCGGGGCAGGGAUUGAACCUGAGCCACAGCAGUGACAAUGCUGGAUCCUUAACCUGCUGUGCCACAAGAGAACUCCAUUAAGAGUUCUUAAAAUGUCUACAGACAGCAUUGGUGAGAGUCAUUAAAAGCACUUGCUUGGUGGAGUUCCCGCUAUGGCACAGUGGGUUAAGAAUCCUACAGCAGCAGCUUGAGUCUCUGCAGAGGUGUGGGUUGGAUCCCCGCCCCGGAUCCAGUGUUGCUAUGGCUGAGGAAUAUGUCGAAGCUGCAGCUCUGAUUCUAUCCCUGGCCCGGGAACGUCCAUAUGCUGUGGAUGCUGCCCUAAAAAA